rnacentral:rRNA from 1 species
GACGAACGCUGGCGGCGUGCUUAACACAUGCAAGUCGAACGGAAAGGCCCUGCUUUUGUGGGUUGCUCGAGUGGCGAACGGGUGAGUAACACGUGAGUAACCUGCCCUUGACUUUGGGAUAACUUCAGGAAACUGGGGCUAAUACCGGAUAGGAUCUCCUGCUGCAUGGUGGGGGUUGGAAAGUUUCGGCGGUUGGGGAUGGACUCGCAGCUUAUUCGCUGGUUGGUGGGGUAGUGGCUUACCAAGGCUUUGACGGGUAGCCGGCCUGAGAGGGUUGCCGGCCACAUUGGGACUGAGAUACGGCCCAGACUCCUACGGGAGGCAGCAGUGGGGAAUAUUGCAGAAUGGGCGGAAGCCUGAUGCAGCAACGCCGCGUGCGGGAUGACGGCCUUCGGGUUGUAAACCGAUUUCGACUGUGACGAAGCGUGAGUGACGGUAAUGGGUAAAGAAGCACCGGCUAACUACGUG